CAGUAUUUUCUGUUUAAAUAAAUAAAUUUUUACAAAAAGGCAUCAUCUUAUGAAAUUUAUAAAAAUUUCAUUUCUUAUCUUAAUUAUCAUCACAUAAUCAUUGAUACAUGACGCAAUAAACAAUUAAUAUCUCGAGAUAUUGAUUAAUCGACUUUUUACGAGAUGGCAUAUUUAUCAUUAGCACAUAAGAAAUAACGAUUAAGCGGUGCAAUUCUAAUAAUACGAUCGUAAAACCAAGACCGGAAAAGGAAGUCGUACGUCUGACAAUGGAGAAGAUACACAGAAUAAAAUACAGAGUUUGGCCGUGAGUUUGUUCGUUCGUUCGUUCGUUAACGAAGCGAACGCCCACAAUUGAUUGAGAGCGUCGGACUGUUAGCACAAUUGCCCUUAAAUUGAGAUAGCGAUUAGGACACAACGGUAUAUAUACAUAUAUAUAUAUAUAUAUAUAUAUAUAUAUAGCACACUGCACGAUAGUGAAAUUUACGAAAGGAAACUGCACACAAAACGAAACUCGAUCGAGAUUGUUUCUUGCCAAUAGCUGGCGUUAAAUCGACUUGUUGUCUAUAAUAAAAUUACCGAUAAAGUUUGUAUGAUUUCACAAAUUCGAUGAAAUAAACAGAAUUAGCAACUGGUUUAACAAUUCUAAACAAAUCGGAACAAGAGUUUAAGAACCGAAUAUCGAUAGCAAAUAACGGUCGUGUUUCGAUAGCCACGAAAGUAUUGCACAUUGGUCGAUCAGUCGAGUGGGACUUGGUCGCGUGAACUGACCAGUAAGGACAGGCAGUCGUUGCUUUGACUGUCGUUAAAUUAACCACAAUUACCAACGAGGCCUACACGCACGCGCCUUCCUCUAUACGCCUACUAUGAAAAAGAUUUUGCUCCUGUAAUGAGUUCAAUUUCAAGAGUUUAGAUGGCGUUGAACAAUAUUCAGAACAAUGGUGAAAUAUCUACGUGAUUCAGUUCGAGCAAAUUUGGGAGGAGAGGGAUGAAUGACAACAAUUAACAAGUUAGUUGUCAAUUACCACGUUAUCAUUCGCGAUACCGUCACACAAAUGAACACGUCAUGCAUACAAACAGUUGAUAGCUUUAUUGAAUUAAUUUUUUUUUUUUUGUAUCCGAUUACACUGUACACUGUCGACGAAACAUAAAACGCAAAAAAUAAUAAUUUAGAAUCGUGGUCGUAUUAUUUUUUAUACUAUAUCCAUUCAUUGUUAAGAUUUUCUUCUUUCUUA